UCCGGUUGAUCCUGCCAGAGGCCGCUGCUAUCCGGCUGGGACUAAGCCAUGCUAGUCUAGGGGCUUGUACUCCUUCGGGGGUGCAAGCACCGGCGGACGGCUCAGUAACACGUGGACAACCUGCCCUCGGGUGGGGGAUAACCCCGGGAAACUGGGGCUAAUCCCCCAUAGGUGAUGGGUGCUGGAAUGCCCCAUCUCCGAAAGCGCUUAGCGCCCGAGGAUGGGUCUGCGGCGGAUUAGGUAGUUGGUGGGGUAACGGCCCACCAAGCCUAAGAUCCGUACGGGCUGUGGGAGCAGGAGCCCGGAGAUGGACCCUGAGACAAGGGUCCAGGCCCUACGGGGCGCAGCAGGCGCGAAACCUCCGCAAUGCGGGAAACCGCGACGGGGUUAGCCGGAGUGCCCGUGCAUUGCACGGGCUGUCGGGGUGCCUAAACAGCACCCCAUAGCAAGGGCCGGGCAAGGCCGGUGGCAUCCGCCGCGGUAAGACCGGCGGCCCGAG
rnacentral:rRNA from 1 species